rnacentral:rRNA from 1 species
UACAGAGGGUGCGAGCGUUAAUCGGAAUGACUGGGCGUAAAGGGCGCGUAGGCGGUAAAUUAAGUGAGAGGUGAAAAUCCUGGGCUUAACCUGGGAAUUGCCUCUGAAACUGAUUAGCUAGAGUAGAGUAGAGGGAAGUGGAAUUUCCGGUGUAGCGGUGAAAUGCGUAGAUAUCGGAAAGAACACCAGUGGCGAAGGCGGCUUCCUGGACUUAUACUGACGCUGAGGCGCGAAAGCAUGGGGAGCAAACAGG